GUGUGUUAGGUUAAAUUCGAAACCUUAUUUAUAUAUUUGCGACUGGAGUAAAGUUUUAAGAAGACAUUUAACUAUAUGUUUUAUCUGAAAGAAAAAAAAUUCAACUAUUUUACAAGUGAGAUAAUUAAUAAUCAUUUCAUUCCAAAACAAGUAAGUUAGUGUAAUAUUAUUCUAUGAAGAUCAUUAUUUAAGAACUGUUUUUAGUAUUUGAAUACUAUCAGGUUUUUUUAGGGUAUUACAUGGAGAACGCCCCUACUGGUGGAUAUACGAAACACAAGUUUACAACAAAACUGGCUCCAACACGCCAGCCAUUCAACAAUACUUCAUGACAUGUGAGACAGGUCCAGGCAGUCCAUCAGGUCAUGCUAUGGUUUCUGCAGCGGUAUGGUACAUCCUUAUCACAGCUUUCUUGGAAAAAUCUGCACCU